UCUCUGUGUGUAUGACCAUCGGCUUCUUCCAGCUAUGUACUGGCCGAUGUGAAGAGAUCUACACCAGGACAGGCAUGGUGGCCGAGUGGACUGGAUUCCUUGGCCUGAUAAUAUACCAACUAAUGAACUAUACAGAUUUCCAGCCUUUGUCUUUAACGUUGUCCCGAGAAGGUGUCUCCAUUGGCCUGAGAGAAAAGACCCAGGACCCUGAAAACCCCCAAUAAGAUCCAAGGGGUGGAGCGCCAAG